rnacentral:rRNA from 1 species
AUACGUAGGUGGCAAGCGUUGUCCGGAAUUAUUGGGCGUAAAGCGCGCGCAGGUGGUUCCUUAAGUCUGAUGUGAAAGCCCCCGGCUCAACCGGGGAGGGUCAUUGGAAACUGGGGAACUUGAGUGCGGAAGAGGAUAGUGGAAUUCCAAGUGUAGCGGUGAAAUGCGUAGAGAUUUGGAGGAACACCAGUGGCGAAGGCGACUGUCUGGUCUGUAACUGACACUGAGGCGCGAAAGCGUGGGGAGCAAACAGGAUUAGAUGCCCUGGUAGUCCGCGCCGUAAACGAUGAGUGCUAAGUGUUGGGGGGUUUCCGCCCCUCAGUGCUGCAGCUAACGCAUUAAGCACUCCGCCUGGGGAGUACGGUCGCAAGACUGAAACUCAAAGGAAUUGACGGGG